UGAAAUGAUGAAAUGUGCACUGGGCUCUGAGUAGUUGUACUCCAACUACUUUUUGAUGGAUAACUCCGCUGCCUAGAAAGCUAUUUCUGAUCU